GUGCCAGCAGCCGCGGUAAUACAGAGGUCCCAAGCGUUGUUCGGAUUCACUGGGCGUAAAGGGUGCGUAGGUGGUGAGGUAAGUCGGAUGUGAAAGCUCGGAGCUCAACUCCGAAAUGGCAUUGGAAACUACCUUGCUCGAGGGUUGGAGGGGGGACUGGAAUACUUGGUGUAGCAGUGAAAUGCGUAGAUAUCAAGUGGAACACCAGUGGCGAAGGCGAGUCCCUGGACAACUCCUGACACUGAGGCACGAAAGCUAGGGGAGCAAACAGGAUUAGAUACCCUGGUAGUCC
rnacentral:rRNA from 1 species